rnacentral:rRNA from 1 species
GAGUUUGAUCCUGGCUCAGGAGAACGCUGGCGGCGUGCCAUACAUGCAAGUCGAGCGAACUGUUGAGUUUACUCAACAGUUAGCGGCGGUGAGUAACACGUGGGCAACCUGUAUAAGACUGGGCCCACUUCGGGAAACCGGAGCUCUCGCAUGAGAGAAGAUGGAAAGACGGCGUCUCGCUGUCACUUAUAGAUGGGCCCGCGGCGCAUUAGCUAGUUGGUGAGGUAAGGCUUGGUAGCCGACCUGAGAGGGUGAUCGGCCACACUGGGCACCAAGGCAACGAACUGAGAACGCCUACGGUUACCAGCAGUAGGGAAUCUUCCGCUACAACAAUGCGAAAGUCUGACGGAGCAACGCCGCGUGAACGAUGAAGGCUCCCUGAAAGCCCCCGGGGUCGUAAAGUUCUGUUGUUGGGAAGAACAAGUACCAGAGGGACGUAACUGCUGGACCUUGACGGUACCUAACCAGAAAGCCACGGCUAACUACGUGCCAGCAGCCGCGGUAAUACGUAGGGGGAGGUGGCAAGCGUUAUCCGGAAUUAUUGGGCGUAAAGCGCGCGCAGGUGGUUCCUUUUUUACCGGAUAUGUUCUUAAAGUCUGAUGGCUCAACCGGGGAGGGUCAUUGGAAACUGGGGAACUUGAGUGUAGAAGAGGAAAGUGGAUUCCCCAGACUACGUGUAGCGGUGAAAUGCGUAGAGAUGUGGAGGAACACCAGUGGCGAAGGGCAUUAAGCACUACACACGUCGACUUUCGACAAGUGGUCUAUAACUGACACUGAGGCGCGAAAGCUGGGGAGCAAACAGGAUUAGAUAGGGUGGUAGUCCACGCCGUAAACGAUGAGUGCUAAGUGUUAGAGGGUUUCCGCCCUUUAGUGCUGCAGCUAACCUCCGCCUUACGGCCGCAAGGCUGAAACUCAAAGGAAUUGACGGCCCCCGCUCUGACACACAAGCGGUGGAGCAUGUGGUUUAAUUCGAAGCAACGCGAAGAACCUUACCAGGUCUUGACAUCCUCCUAGAGAUAGGACUCGGGGCUUCGGGGUGAGGUGGUGCAUGGUUGUCGUCAGCUCGUGUCGUGAGAUGUUGGGUUAAGUCCCGCAACGAGCGCAACCCUUGAUCUUAGUUGCCAGCAUUCAGUUGGGCACUCUAAGGUGACUGGGGGUGAUAAACCGGAGGAAGGUGGGGAUGACGUCAAAUCAUCAUGCCCCUUAUGACCUGGGG